UACGUAGGGGGCUAGCGUUGUCCGGAAUCAUUGGGCGUAAAGCGCGUGUAGGCGGUCCGGUAAGUCCGCUGUGAAAGUCGGGGGCUCAACCCUCGAAUGCCGGUGGAUACUGUCGGGCUAGAGUACGGAAGAGGCAAGUGGAAUUCCUGGUGUAGCGGUGGAAUGCGCAGAGUAUCAGGAGGAACACCAAUUGCGAAGGCAGCUCGCUGGGACGUUACUGACGCUGAGACGCGAAAGCGUGGGGAGCAAACAGG
rnacentral:rRNA from 1 species